GAUGAAGAACGUAGCGAAAUGCGAUACUUGGUGUGAAUUGCAGAAUCCCGUGAACCAUCGAGUCUUUGAACGCAAGUUGCGCCCGAAGCCGUCAGGCCGAGGGCACGCCUGCCUGGGCGUCACACGCCGUUGCCCCCCCGCGCCCCGCACCCAACUCUUUGGGAGCGACCGCGGGGCGGGCUGAUGAUGGCCUCCCGUGCGCUCCGCCGCGCGGUUGGCCCAAAUACCGAGUCCCCGGCGACGUGCGCCAUGACAAUCGGUGGUUGAGAGACCUCUGUCGCAAGUCGUGCGCGCCCGUCGCGUCACGCGGGCUCGCAUAGCGCCUCGCGCCGCACCCGGUGCGGAGCUUUCAACGCGACCCCAGGUCAGGCGGGGUUACCCGCUGAAUUUAAGCAUAUCAAUAAGCGGAGGA
rnacentral:misc_RNA from 1 species